UUUUAAUUCAAAACUACGUCGUUUCAUGCGUUUUGCUUGUCACAAAAAACAAGCCCUAAUUUUACACUUCUCACACUGCCUCGCUCCACUUUUACUCUACCUCUCUCCACUCCUGCAUCCACGCUCCAUUCCCGCUGAAGAUUUCCAUCAGCAGCGACGGUGACCCCGACCACAAACCGACGGCCGUUGUUCCGAUCAUCCCAGGCAGGACACUUCAUCUCCGUCCCCUUCCUCGCCGGCCAGCACCACCACCACACUCUGUGAUUUCUGGUUGACUGACUCAUUCGGAUAACAAGCUCAAGAAAUAGGAGAUGAAAAAUAUUGUUUCCAUGCGUCAUGGGGACACUCCCCCAGCCCCCAAGCUAUUUCCAUCCCAAAUCUUCUUAUCCACAGGUAACGGGCAAUUUUUUGAUUUCCAUAAUUUUUUGUCUCCACAUGCGAUCUUUACUUGUUGAGCUCAAAUUUCGUGAUGUACAUGUCCCUACUUUUUAUAGCUAUAUUCAAUCUUCACGUUGUGAUAUUCUUUCACAGUUCAUGGUUUGUGAGAUUAUUUGUGUUUGCUUUUUUUCUGGGCAAGUGCAAUUAUAUCCUUUCUCAUUAUUGGUCACAGAGAUAACUCUUCAGACAGCACAAUUCUUUCAUCCUACCACUUGUUUGAUUUAAUUUCUGAGAGGAAAUAGAUGUCAUGACAUGCUGAUAAAUGAAUCUCAAGUUGCAUAAGAAGAUGGCCCUAUUGAUUUAGAACAUAGAAUCAGCAGGUGUUUUUGUUGCCAAAACAAGAAAUGAACUAGAAAUAAGAGGUAGAAACAACUUUUGCCAAUACUAAUGACCAGGACUCCACUUUCUUUUACAGGACAACAAACAAUGCUGCUAAUGCUGCCUAGGUAUGCACCUCUUGUUCCUGUACUAUGGAAAUUUAUGAAGCAAUGCCACGAGAAUCAGAAGUGAUCAGCCUUGUCUGGGCAUUUAACAUAUCUGCCGGCAGAUGCACCUAGCUGGCUAUUACCUUUGUCAGUUUUCUGCCCUGUAUAUAAGCAUAUGCUUACGAUAGUUGUUAAUGGGGAGUUCUACGAGCAAGAGAAGCCACUGUCUUUAAAAGUUAUCAAAUGCUUGAUUGUUAUCUUUAAGGCAGGUAAUAUUUGUAGUUGUAGAAUCUUUAGGUCAAUGUAUUUCAGAGAAAAUGGCUCUCUGCAGUAUUUGAUAGUCCUUUCCCCUUUUAGGUCACUAUAUAUCAUGGCAAGGUGAAAAAGAAAGCAUUGUACUAUUGUUAUUUCUCAUCUGAGGAGUUUUUGACCUAUACUGUUGAUCAUUUGUUGGUAGUAUAUCACCAGUGAAGUUUACAUUAUGCUCAGUGGCCUUUUUAUUUCCUGACGGGCUAUAAAGAUGGAUGUCCAGUUGCCAUUUAACAUUUUGGUUGCUCAUUUCUGUAGGCCUUAUGGCAGCUCCUGUGGUUGAAUCCUGUUGCUUCCCCAAAUGUAUCCAAGUCUACUGUUGAUGUCUUUUCUCUUAAGAGGCACCCCUUGAAUUUAUUCAGCAUAGAGUUAGCAUUGUAGCUUCCAAUCUUCUAUCACAAGUAUAUGAUCUCAUCUUGGUAAUUGUUGGUUUGCUUUUCAUAGAUGGAGUAUUGCUUGCUUAGCAAAAAAAAUGGAUUUUUUUUUAAAAUCUGUGAAGCCGCCAGACAGUAUAACAGUUAUUGGUUAACAAAAAUUAUAGAACAAUUGCAAUGUCACCUUCAUGAACUGACUUUUGUCUUAAAUUAUGGUUUUUAUGAGUAAGCUUCCUUUUUUCUUCAUUUACCUUUUGGCCAGUACCUAGUGUGAUAAUGCAGUACAAGUAGAACAUUCUUCAAUAGCUGUCACGUUACUAGUUUCUUGCAUUCCCAUGAACUGUGACGGAUGCCACAUGAAAUGAAGAAAUGAGAAGGUAUAUUCUCCAUGUGCUUAAUUUUUGUAAAAGAGAAUGACCCGGCCUAAGCAGGCCGGAUGCUACCAUUGAAUUUUCUGAUAGUUUUAAAAGUGUGAUAAAGCUUGAAUUAAUGUUGUUCAUGUGUUGGAUAUGUGUCUGAAGUGUGUCCGGAGCUUGUCCAUGUCUUAUACGUUUCCGACACCGACACUUUGAUUUUGGCGAAGUUUUGCUGCUACGUAGGUUGCAUAUCAUCGAUAUUAUAUAGAAUGACAUCAAAAUCUAGGUUGGGUAGCUCGUUGGGUAGCUCGCUUAGUCACUCAUGAGUCAUGCCAUAAUUCGUUAUAUAACAACUUGGAGCAAAAUCACAUUCUUUUUUAAACCUUUCGUAGGCUUGACAUGUUACAUAAUUGCUUCUUUUUUUUAUUUUUUGCAAUUUUGUACAGGUAAGGAGUUGGAGUUGCUUUUUGACAGUUUACCAAGAUGGAGUUGAAGACUUUUUGGUAGAUAAAUGGAACACUUGUUUUGAGUUCUUUUUGUCAUUGGACACACCAUGGAUAUGGAUGUUUUGUAGUUUCGGUAAUGCUGUUAAGUUUGAAGUGGUCAUUGUUGUAGGAUGAAUGUUUUGAAAGGUUGUAAAGUUGGAUGAUGAAUGUUUGACUUAUUGGAUAUUUAAUUUGAAUGA